rnacentral:sRNA from 1 species
AUAUUCUCCCGAAAGGGAGGGAUGAGAACCCUCGACUGAGAGUUCGACAACGGGCGACAGCCAGUUGGACAGACCGCGAACGCAGUGAGGGGGUUGCCCGUAGGGCGAGCGAAGCGAGUCCAUCCCUCCCUCACCGCCA